CAGAUUGAGGCUGGAUGGAGGGGAGGGAACGAGUAGGAGGAGAGUGGCGCUCGCCAGAGUCGGAGGCGGGGCCGGCGGGUGGCGGGGACGGGGAGGCAAGGAGGACAACAUGGACUCCUCCAAAUGUUAUCGGAUUCAAUUUGAUGAGGACAUCACCACACUGGACAUGCACGAGCCGGCCUCAUUACCAAGCUUCAAGUCGUCGCCAAGUUGGACAGCGAGUUCGGUUCGGAUUCAGCCGACAUGCUUGUACCAAAACAGCGAUAUCUUCCUCAUACGGCAUCCAAAUAAGGCAUUCUUGGAUGCGUUGGAAUCAUGAUGACAAGACGCUUCUUUUUGUUCUGGUCCUAGCUCCAGAAACCUCGUGGAUCAUUAUGUGUGACCACAGAAAAGUGCCGUGUCACUUGUUUUAGGCCUUUUCAGGCCUUGUAUUGUGUCGGGCUUUAAUCCCAUAUUGUGGUGCCCCGUCCUAGGUUGUCCAACCCUAGGACGCCCCUGGUUUCCCUAUAAACUCAGUAGCCGCCACCACUUAGACUUGAGUUUUGUUUAGUUUUUGUGUUUUUCUUCGAGAAAACAAAAUUUGCAUCGUUGUAUCUGUGGCGACAAGUCCUUAUACCAUUCAGGGCCCUGUUCUUGCUCUC